rnacentral:rRNA from 1 species
GACGAACGCUGGCGGCGUGCUUAACACAUGCAAGUCGAACGGAAAGGCCCUGCUUUUGUGGGGUGCUCGAGUGGCGAACGGGUGAGUAACACGUGAGUAACCUGCCCUUGACUUUGGGAUAACUUCAGGAAACUGGGGCUAAUACCGGAUAGGAGCUCCUGCUGCAUGGUGGGGGUUGGAAAGUUUCGGCGGUUGGGGAUGGACUCGCGGCUUAUCAGCUUGUUGGUGGGGUAGUGGCUUACCAAGGCUUUGACGGGUAGCCGGCCUGAGAGGGUGACCGGCCACAUUGGGACUGGGGUACGGCCCAGACUCCUACGGGAGCAGCAGUGGGGAAUAUUGCACAAUGGGCGGAAGCCUGAUGCAGCAACGCCGCGUGCGGGAUGACGGCCUUCGGGUUGUAAACCGCUUUCGCCUGUGACGAAGCGUGAGUGACGGUAAUGGGUAAAGAAGCACCGGCUAACUACGUG